rnacentral:rRNA from 1 species
CUACGUGCCAGCAGCCGCGGUAAUACGUAGGUGGCAAGCGUUGUCCGGAAUGAUUGGGCGUAAAGGGCGCGCAGGCGGCUGUGUAAGUCUGUCCAGAAAGUGCGGGGCUAAACCCCGUGAGAGGAUGGAAACUGGACAGCUGAGAGUGUCGGAGAGGAAAGCGGAAUUCCUAGUGUAGCGGUGAAAUGCGUAGAGAUGUGGAGGAAUACCGAAGGCGAAGGCAGCCCCUUGGGAAUGUACUGACGCUCAUGUGCGAAAGCGUGGGGAGCAAACAGGAUUAGAUACCCUGGUAGUCCACGCUGUAAACGAUGUCGAUUUGGGGGUUGAGCUUUAAGUUUGGCGCCCGUAGCUAACGUGAUAAAUCGACCGCCUGGGGAGUACGGCCGCAAGGUUAAAACUCAAAUGAAUUGACGGGGGCCCGCACAAGCGGUGGAGCAUGUGGUUUAAUUCGAUGCAACGCGAAGAACCUUACCUACUCUUGACAUCCAGAGAACAUUC